UUCAAACUUGAGAGUUUGAUCCUGGCUCAGAACGAACGCUGGUGGUAUGCUUAACACAUGCAAGUCGAACGGACGUGGCCUAGCUUGCUAGGAUUCUGUCAGUGGCGCACGGGUGAGUAACGCGUGGGAAUCUACCCAAUAGUAUGGAAUAACAACCAGAAAUGGUUGCUAAUACCAUAUACGCCCUUCGGGGGAAAGAUUUAUUGCUAUUGGAUGAGCCCGCGUUGGAUUAGCUAGUUGG
rnacentral:rRNA from 1 species